CACGUAGGGGGCGAGCGUUGUCCGGAUUUAUUGGGCGUAAAGAGCUCGUAGGCGGUUUCGUAAGUCGGGUGUGAAAACUUCAGGCUCAACCUGGAGACGCCACCCGAUACUGCCAUGGCUAGAGUCCGGUAGGGGACCACGGAAUUCCUGGUGUAGCGGUGAAAUGCGCAGAUAUCAGGAGGAACACCGGUGGCGAAGGCGGUGGUCUGGGCCGGAACUGACGCUGAGGAGCGAAAGCGUGGGGAGCGAACAGG
rnacentral:rRNA from 1 species